CAUUCUCCCAGUGUUGGGUACUGACCUGCAGCCUGCGUCGUCUUCCCUGGCAAGCCUCCCUCAUCUGGCCGCUUUCUGCUUCCUACAAAGUCAGGCCUGCAUUCCUGGGGUCCCCAGCCUCGCCCCACAGGAAGAUUGCCUGCCGUUCCCAGAAAACAGCACACAGUCUGGACCUCUGCAGCUCUCCUCUCCUUCCAAGGCUGCCUGGCAAUCUUCAUCACAUUUCCUGGCUCUGCUCCAGCAUCCCUUCCUCCUCACAGCCUUCCUCACACCCGCAAGAAGGCAGCUGCCCUGCGUGCUGCAAGCCGCCUGGCUGGGGCAUGCUUCCAUGGUGGCGUUUAUCAGCCAGCUUUCUCCUUGUGGACAAGGCUGGCCACUCAUCGAAAGCCCAGUCCUGACAGCCGUGGCUGUGUUCCCAGCAGGGCCCUGUGGGGACCAAGUUUGCAAUCCCCCAUGCUACACAGGCACUGGGUAAAAGGCAAUUACCUUGGGGCUUGAUGAUGAUUUCAAAUCCACGCCCCAGAACUUCAUUUAGCUUGCUAAAAUGAAAGAGAGCUCAGGGUGAUCCUCAGUGGUCCCCUUAGCCCUGCAUGCCUGCACCUUAGUCCUCCCUAGGUAAACACAGACUGAUUCUUGGGAACUCUAAGUAAUGUCCUUAAACGUCCUCCUGCUGCUGCAGUUUGGAUCUGGAGUGCUCUCCAAAGACCUGGCUCUGAAGGCAUGUUCACCAGCUUGUGGUGCUAUUGGGAGGUGGUCAAACCCUUAGGGGGUGGGGCCUAGAGGGAGUAGGUUAGGUCAUUGGGGGCAUGGCCUUGAAAAGAAUAUUGGGACCCUGAGUUUCUUCUCUGUCUUUUGCUGCCUGGCUUCCAUGAGGUGAAAAAGCCUCUACUAUCAUGUGCUCCCAUCACCAUGGGCUGCCUCAGGCCCAAAGCUACAGGGCUAAACAACCAGACAACCAUAGACUGAACUGUGAGC
rnacentral:lncRNA from 1 species